ACUCCGGUGGCCUAGUGGUUAAAUCAUCCGCCUCAGAUGCAGAAGGUCGUUGGUUCAAAUCUCGGCCGAAUA